rnacentral:lncRNA from 1 species
ACACGUUCAAAGAACCCACAUGCAUCGACAAGACAGCAAGGCAACAUGAAGGCCUAUAUUUAUAUUAUUCGGACCUUGAUUUGGACCGUGGCCAUGAGUGGUUUUCUUCAAGUAAACUCUGUUUACGCCACAGCCUUGAACACAAUCAACCUAAUGCAGAAAGAUAUCAAAUGUCCUUCAGAUUCAAUCUUCUACACGCCAGUCGAUGUGACGGAGCAAUGCAUCGCCACCGCACUGCGCUGUGUCGAGGUGGAGCUUCAACACACCGUCAAAGGAGAAUGUAAUUACCCAAUAAAACGCAUUGACCAGGGACUCAAAGUCUUGCGAAAAACAAUGGAAAAAUGGAAGGUUUACAGCAAACAUGUGAGUACUUCAUUUCGUCUUGUUUGCCGCAAAGAAAACGUUCUACUUCUGAAGCUUUUGUCUCGUCUCCAGAAUCAGAGGAAGGUCUGCCAUAGCGUCUGUGAGGAAUGGCCCGAGAGGUCCUUCAGGGUAUUUCUGAAUAAAACCAAAGAUUUGGUUCAGCUGGUGUAUGACCUGAGUAAGAGCGUGACGUGAGAGGACCGUGUGUCACUUUCUACUGACUAUACAAAGAAACACUAGAAGAAAAUCAACUUGAGGGACUAAAGGACUAAGUCGUCUGACCAUGGACCACAUCUGACCAGCGUCUGAGAAGAUGGGAUCCAUGUUUUGGAGUAAAGACACAUUUUAAAUAUGUCUUGGAUGUACAGUCAUUAAAAAAACAACAAAUAUUUAUAUUUUAAAGGGUGACCAUAAGUCCGGUUUAACCCAGACAUGUUCUCUUUUCACGUCUUGUGCAGGGAAAUGUUUGAAAUUGUCCGGGUUUCCCAGGGACCUUGAACGCAUCUCAGGGAACAUAUUAAUAUAAGAGACUGUAACUCUGUUAAUAUUUGCUCUGAGAAAUUCCACUAGUUUCUGUCAUUAUGAUAAUUUUACUCACACGUGAAAAUUAAAGAUGCC